ensembl:snoRNA small nucleolar RNA SNORD72
UUUCUGUCUGUGAUGUUUUUAAUACAAAUGUCUGAACAUAUGAGUUCCUGUGAUUCUCACUGUUUGACUGAGACAAGAC